AUUGAACGCUGGCGGCAUGCUUUACACAUGCAAGUCGAACGGUAACAGGCCGCAAGGUGCUGACGAGUGGCGAACGGGGGAGUAAUGCAUCAGAACGUGCCCAGUCGUGGGGGAUAACGCAGCGAAAGCUGUGCUAAUACCGCAUCCGAUCUAUGGAUGAAAGCGGGGGACCGUAAGGCCUCGCGCGAUUGGAGCGGCCGAUGUCAGAUUAGGUAGUUGGUGGGGUAAAGGCUCCCCAAGCCAACGAUCUGUAGCUGGUCUGAGAGGACGACCAGCCACACUGGGACUGAGACACGGCCCAGACUCCUACGGGAGGCAGCAGUGGGGAAUUUUGGACAAUGGGCGCAAGCCUGAUCCAGCAAUGCCGCGUGCAGGAAGAAGGCCUUCGGGUUGUAAACUGCUUUUGUACGGAACGAAAAGGUUUGGGUUAAUACCCUGGGCCGAUGACGGUACCGUAAGAAUAAGCACCGGCUAACUACGUGCCAGCAGCCGCCGUAA
rnacentral:rRNA from 1 species